AAUGCAGAUCAUGUUUGGAUGGAGGUAGUCAUCAUUCACUGUUUAUGUAACUGCAGAUCGUGUUUGGAUGGAGGUAGUCAUCAUUCACUGUUUAUGUAACUGGAAUGCAGAUCAUGUUUGGAUGGAGGUAGUCAUCAUUCACUGUUUAUGUAACUGGAAUGCAGAUCAUGUUUGGAUGGAGGUAGUCAUCAUUCACUGUUUAUGUAACUGGAAUGCAGAUCAUGUUUGGAUGGAGGUAGUCAUCAUUCACUGUUUAUGUAACUGCAGAUCCUGUUUGGAUGGAGGUAGUCAUCAUUCACUGUUUAUGUAACUGCAGAUCGUGUUUGGAUGGAGGUAGUCAUCAUUCACUGUUUAUGUAACUGCAGAUCCUGUUUGGAUGGAGGUAGUCAUCAUUCACUGUUUAUGUAACUGGAAUGCAGAUCAUGUUUGGAUGGAGGUAGUCAUCAUUCACUGUUUAUGUAACUGGAAUGCAGAUCAUGUUUGGAUGGAGGUAGUCAUCAUUCACUGUUUAUGUAACUGGAAUGCAGAUCAUGUUUGGAUGGAGGUAGUCAUCAUUCACUGUUUAUGUAACUGCAGAUCCUGUUUGGAUGGAGGUAGUCAUCAUUCACUGUUUAUGUAACUGCAGAUCGUGUUUGGAUGGAGGUAGUCAUCAUUCACUGUUUAUGUAACUGCAGAUCCUGUUUGGAUGGAGGUAGUCAUCAUUCACUGUUUAUGUAACUGGAAUGCAGAUCAUGUUUGGAUGGAGGUAGUCAUCAUUCACUGUUUAUGUAACUGGAAUGCAGAUCGUGUUUGGAUGGAGGUAGUCAUCAUUCACUGUUUAUGUAACUGGAAUGCAGAUCGUGUUUGGAUGGAGGUAGUCAUCAUUCACUGUUUAUGUAACUGGAAUGCAGAUCGUGUUUGGAUGGAGGUAGUCAUCAUUCACUGUUUAUGUAACUGGAAUGCAGAUCGUGUUUGGAUGGAGGUAGUCAUCAUUCACUGUUUAUGUAACUGCAGAUCGUGUUUGGAUGGAGGUAGUCAUCAUUCACUGUUUAUGUAACUGCAGAUCGUGUUUGGAUGGAGGUAGUCAUCAUUCACUGUUUAUGUAACUGCAGAUCCUGUUUGGAUGGAGGUAGUCAUCAUUCACUGUUUAUGUAACUGGAAUGCAGAUCAUGUUUGGAUGGAGGUAGUCAUCAUUCACUGUUUAUGUAACUGGAAUGCAGAUCGUGUUUGGAUGGAGGUAGUCAUCAUUCACUGUUUAUGUAACUGGAAUGCAGAUCGUGUUUGGAUGGAGGUAGUCAUCAUUCACUGUUUAUGUAACUGGAAUGCAGAUCCUGUUUGGAUGGAGGUAGUCAUGAUUCACUGUUUAUGUAACUGGAAUGCAGAUCGUGUUUGGAUGGAGGUAGUCAUCAUUCACUGUUUAUGUAACUGGAAUGCAGAUCGUGUUUGGAUGGAGGUAGUCAUCAUUCACUGUUUAUGUAACUGCAGAUCGUGUUUGGAUGGAGGUAGUCAUCAUUCACUGUUUAUGUAACUGCAGAUCCUGUUUGGAUGGAGGUAGUCAUCAUUCACUGUUUAUGUAACUGGAAUGCAGAUCGUGUUUGGAUGGAGGUAGUCAUCAUUCACUGUUUAUGUAACUGCAGAUUGUGUUUGGAUGGAGGUAGUCAUCAUUCACUGUUUAUGUAACUGGAAUGCAGAUCCUGUUUGGAUGGAGGUAGUCAUCAUUCACUGUUUAUGUAACUGGAAUGCAGAUCGUGUUUGGAUGGAGGUAGUCAUCAUUCACUGUUUAUGUAACUGCAGAUUGUGUUUGGAUGGAGGUAGUCAUCAUUCACUGUUUAUGUAACUGCAGAUUGUGUUUGGAUGGAGGUAGUCAUCAUUCACUGUUUAUGUAACUGGAAUGCAGAUUGUGUUUGGAUGGAGGUAGUCAUCAUUCACUGUUUAUGUAACUGCAGAUCGUGUUUGGAUGGAGGUAGUCAUCAUUCACUGUUUAUGUAACUGGAAUGCAGAUCAUGUUUGGAUGGAGGUAGUCAUCAUUCACUGUUUAUGUAACUGGAAUGCAGAUCGUGUUUGGAUGGAGGUAGUCAUCAUUCACUGUUUAUGUAACUGGAAUGCAGAUCCUGUUUGGAUGG